UACGAAGGGGGCUAGCGUUGUUCGGAAUUACUGGGCGUAAAGCGUGCGCAGGCGGUCUUCCAAGUCAGUGGUGAAAGCCCGGAGCUCAACUCCGGAACUGCCAUUGAAACUGUUGGACUUGAGUACGAGAGAGGUGAGUGGAAUUCCCAGUGUAGAGGUGAAAUUCGUAGAUAUUGGGAAGAACACCGGUGGCGAAGGCGGCUCACUGGCUCGUAACUGACGCUCAGGCGCGACAGCGUGGGA
rnacentral:rRNA from 1 species